CAAAGCGCCAUAAAAAGAGUAUUCAUGAAAAUUCCAGUAUUGUGACUUCGCACGCAACAUCUACUCAGCCAGCCUCCAGUCGCCAUUGUUAUGCCCGGUAUGGAAGCUGAGAACUCAAACGCCUCCCGAGCUGAAGAACUCAAGCAACUCGCAAAUGAAGCAUUCAAAGGGCAUAAGUAUUCGCAAGCUAUUGAUCUGUACACACAAGCGAUUGAGUUGAACGGUGAGAAUGCGGUGUACUAUGCUAACCGUGCGUUUGCUCACACCAAAUUGGAGGAAUAUGGAAGCGCAAUACAGGAUGGAACUAGAGCUAUUGAAAUUGACCCUAGAUAUUCAAAGGGUUAUUAUAGGAGAGGAGCUGCAUAUUUGGCAAUGGGGAAGUUCAAAGAUGCACUCAAGGAUUUUCAACAGGUCAAGAAAUUAUGUCCAAACGACCCAGAUGCUACCAAAAAAUUGAAGGAAUGUGAGAAAGCUGUCAUGAAGCUAAAAUUUGAAGAAGCUAUUUCUGUCCCAGAAUCUCAGAGGCGUUCAGUAGCUGACUCUAUUGAUUAUCGUUCUGUAGAGGUGGAGCCUCAAUAUGCUGGUGCAAGAAUAGAGGGAGAUGUUGUAACAUUAGAUUUUGUGAAGAAGAUGCUGGAUGACUUCAAAAACCAGAAGAACUUGCAUAAGAGGUAUGCCUACCAAAUAGUACUGCAAACAAGAGAAAUGUUGCGAGCACUGCCCUCCCUUGUUGACAUUGUUGUUCCCGAAGGGAAGCACUUCACUGUAUGUGGUGAUGUACAUGGUCAGUUUUAUGACCUCCUAAAUAUUUUCGAGCUCAAUGGGCUUCCAUCAGAAGACAAUCCGUAUCUGUUCAAUGGUGAUUUUGUUGAUAGAGGGUCUUUCUCUCUAGAGGUCAUAUUGACAUUAUUUGCCUUCAAGUGCAUGUGUCCAUCAGCUAUACACCUGGCGAGAGGAAAUCACGAAAGCAAGAGCAUGAACAAAAUAUAUGGGUUUGAGGGCGAGGUCAGAUCCAAGUUAAGUGAAAUAUUUGUGGAACUCUUUGCAGAAGUGUUCUGUUGCUUACCUUUGGCCCAUGUCAUAAAUGAGAAAGUCUUUGUAGUACAUGGAGGUCUUUUUAG
rnacentral:misc_RNA from 1 species